GACGUAGGGCGCGAGCGUUGUCCGGAUUUAUUGGGCGUAAAGAGCUCGUAGGCGGCUUGUCGCGUCGUCCGUGAAAACUUGGGGCUCAACCCCAAGCUUGCGGUCGAUACGGGCAAGCUAGAGUUCGGUAGGGGAGACUGGAAUUCCUGGUGUAGCGGUGAAAUGCGCAGAUAUCAGGAGGAACACCGGUGGCGAAGGCGGGUCUCUGGGCCGAUACUGACGCUGAGGAGCGAAAGCGUGGGGAGCGAACAGG
rnacentral:rRNA from 1 species